rnacentral:misc_RNA from 1 species
GAUGGAACUAGCUAGGAUACUACUUUUCUUUGAUUUAAGUUUUCUAAGCUAAUUGUGCCUUAUAAUUUGUACAAGGAUAGUAUUUAGUGGCGAGUUUGUUUAAUUGGGUGCCAAAUAAGAUCGAAUUUUUUAUCUGAACAUUUUGUUUUUCUAAUUUCCCAUGUUGUCUUGGCAACCAAAAUUAGGAACUAGGUUGUUGGAUUUCAUGAUCUUGAUAGGCUUCCUUUGUUUUGUAGGAAGGGCGAAUUGAUGAAAACGGG